GACGAACGCUGGCGGCGUGCUUAACACAUGCAAGUCGAACGGAAAGGCCCUGCUUUUGUGGGGUGCCCGAGUGGCGAACGGGUGCGUAACACGUGAGUAACCUGCCCUUGACUUUGGGAUAACUUCAGGAAACUGGGGCUAAUACCGGAUAGGAGCUCCUGCUGCAUGGUGGGGGUUGGAAAGUCUCGGCGGUUGGGGAUGGACUCGCGGCUUAUCAGCUUGUUGGUGGGGUAGUGGCUUACCAAGGCUUUGACGGGUAGCCGGCCUGAGAGGGUGACCGGCCACAUUGGGACUGAGAUACGGCCCAGACUCCUACGGGAGGCAGCAGUGGGGAAUAUUGCACAAUGGGCGGAAGCCUGAUGCAGCAACGCCGCGUGCGUGAUGACGGCCUUCGGGUUGUAAACCGCUUUCGCCUGUGACGAAGCGUGAGUGACGGUAAUGGGUAAAGAAGCACCGGCUAACUACGUG
rnacentral:rRNA from 1 species